UCGAAUACAACUUUGAGGAAAGGUUGUGCUGGCCGUCUCUUACCAAGACAGCAUUCGUGCACACCUUUCUGACCCUUCUUUUCAAAAACCUGUGAACCUCUUGUAGGCCAAGAGAUUGGUCUACGUUUUACCAUUACAAACUCUUAUCGCAUGUACACGAACGUUUGUUGAUAAUAUAACA
rnacentral:misc_RNA from 1 species